UUAAAACUUAGAAACAAAGUAACCGAACUGAAUGUAAAUAUAUACCUCUUAGAUAUUUCAUAAGUACUCUUAUCACUAUUCUAACGCUUGCUUUGUAAAUUCUUAUGCACCAUGAGUUUCUUUGACGUUUUACUGAUUUUAAAGUUUCUGAACAAGAAUUAUAAUCCAUUAAUCCACGGAAGCAAACAAAUUCCACAUGAAACGCAAAACUUUUGCAGAACUGACAGCGAUAUUUAUUACAUCCAGAUAUGUAUUUCAUCUCUAGUUUCCUCAUUAAUAACUGCAUUCCUCAUGCAUAAAAUGAUGCUACGGUCGAAACAAACAAAGAAGCCUGAAAUUAAUAUAAAGGAAACAGAUUCAAACUCGUCUCAAAUCAGGAAUCUCUUAUUCGAUGAAAUGAAGAAACAAAACGUCGAAGAGGCACCGUCUUUUGAGAAUUGUUUCAAAGGAAAUUUAAUUUUU